CCUACGGGCGGCAGCAGUGGGGAAUAUUGGACAAUGGGCGAAAGCCUGAUCCAGCCAUGCCGCGUGUGUGAAGAAGGCCUUCGGGUUGUAAAGCACUUUCAGUGGGGAAGAAAGCCUUGGGGCUAAUACCCUCGAGGAAGGACAUCACCCACAGAAGAAGCACCGGCUAACUCCGUGCCAGCAGCCGCGGUAAUACGGAGGGUGCGAGCGUUAAUCGGAAUUACUGGGCGUAAAGCGCGCGUAGGCGGUCUGAUAAGCCGGUUGUGAAAGCCCCGGGCUCAACCUGGGAACGGCAUCCGGAACUGUCAGGCUAGAGUGCAGGAGAGGAAGGUAGAAUUCCCGGUGUAGCGGUGAAAUGCGUAGAGAUCGGGAGGAAUACCAGUGGCGAAGGCGGUCUUCUGGACUGACACUGACGCUGAGGUGCGAAAGCGUGGGUAGCAAACAGGAUUAGAUACCCGGGUAGUC
rnacentral:rRNA from 1 species